GCAGUCGUGGCCGAGUGGCUAAGGCGAUGGACUAGAAAUCCAUUGGGAUCUCCCCGCACAGGUUCGAAUCCUGUCGACUGCG
rnacentral:tRNA from 1 species